UCCGGUUGAUCCUGCCGGACCUUACUGCUAUCGGGGUGGGACUAAGACAUGCGAGUCGAGCGUCUCUAGCUAUGUUGAGACGCGGCAGACGGCUCAGUAACACGUGGCUAACCUACCUUCAGGACGAGGACAAACCCGGGAAACUGGGGCUAAUACUCGAUAGGUGAGGAUGUCUGGAAUGACUUCUCUCCCAAAGGGCUUGAAUACAUGCUUUCAAGCCGCCUGGGGAUGGGGCCGCGUCCGAUCAGGUUGUUGGUGAGGUAAUGGCUCACCAAGCCUAUAACCGGUACGGGCCGUGAGAGCGGUAGCCCGGAGAUGGGUACUGAGACAAGGACCCAGGCCCUACGGGGCGCAGCAGUCGCGAAAACUCCGCAAUGCACGAAAGUGUGACGGGGCUACCCCGAGUGCCAUCCGCUGAGGAUGGCUUUUCUUUGGUAUAAUUAGUCAUUGGAAUAAGGAGAGGGCAAGACUGGUGUCAGCCGCCGCGGUAAUACCAGCUCUCCGAGUGGUAGGGAUGAUUAUUGGGCUUAAAGCGUCCGUAGCCGGCUUAGCAAGUUUCCUGUUAAACUCAGCGACUCAAUCGUUGAAUCGCGGGAAAUACUACUAGGCUAGGAGGCGGGAGAGGUCGACGGUACUUCUGGGGUAGGGGUGAAAUCCUAUAAUCCCGGGAGGACCCCCAGUGGCGAAGGCUGUCGACUAGAACGCGCUCGACGGUGAGGGACGAAAGCUGGGGGAGCGAACCGGAUUAGAUACCCGGGUAGUCCCAGCCGUAAACGAUGCGAGCUAGGUGUUGGGAUGGCUACGUGCCAUUUCAGUGCCGCAGGGAAGCCAUUAAGCUCGCCGCCUGGGGAGUACGGCCGCAAGGCUGAAACUUAAAGGAAUUGGCGGGGGAGCACCACAAGGCGUGAAGCUUGC
rnacentral:rRNA from 1 species